AUUGAACGCUGGCGGUAUGCUUAACACAUGCAAGUCGAACGGUAACAGGCCUUCGGGCGCUGACGAGUGGCGGACGGGUGAGUAACGCGUAGGAAUCUGCCUCAUAGUGGGGACAACGUGGGGAAACUCACGCUAAUACCGCAUACGCCCUACGGGGAAAGCGGGGAUCUUCGGACCUCGCGCUAUGAGAUGAGCCUGCGUUAGAUUAGCUAGUUGGUAGGGUAAAGGCCUACCAAGGCGACGAUCUAUAGCUGGUCUGAGAGGACGAUCAGCCACACUGGGACUGAGACACGGCCCAGACUCCUACGGGAGGCAGCAGUGGGGAAUAUUGGACAAUGGGCGCAAGCCUGAUCCAGCAAUACCGCGUGUGUGAAGAAGGCCUUAGGGUUGUAAAGCACUUUCAAUUGGGAGGAAAACCUGCCGGUCAAUACCCGGUAGCUUGACAUUACCUUUAGAAGAAGCACCGGCUAAACUCCGUGCCAGCAGCCGCGGUAAU
rnacentral:rRNA from 1 species